rnacentral:rRNA from 1 species
UACGUAGGGUGCGAGCGUUUGUCCGGAAUUAUUGGGCGUAAAGAGCUUGUAGGCGGUUUGUCGCGUCUGCUGUGAAAAUCCGGGGCUCAACCCCGGACUUGCAGUGGGUACGGGCAGACUAGAGUGUGGUAGGGGAGACUGGAAUUCCUGGUGUAGCGGUGGAAUGCGCAGAUAUCAGGAGGAACACCGGUGGCGAAGGCGGGUCUCUGGGCAACAACUGACGCUGAGGAGCGAAAGCGUGGGGAGCAAACAGG